rnacentral:tRNA from 1 species
GGGCGCGUAGCUCAGUGGUAGAGCAUCUGCCUUUUAAGCAGGGGGUCGAUGGUUCGAGCCCAUCCGCGCUCA